GUCCGUGGAAUGAGUGUUAUUAUUAUUACUGCUUCUACGGAGAUGGGCCUGUUCUUUUCAUCUCCAUCUCUGAUGCUCAAACUCCACCCUCCGUCCACCCCACCUCUCCGUCUCUUGGAACACUCCGCAACCACUGUGCAUAUUAAAUGAUGCCUGGCAUGCUCCUCUCUUUGUUUGAGCAAAGUUAAGGAAAUGGAGUGGGAGAGAAAGUGAGAGAGAGAGAGAGAGGGAGGGAGGAUGACACAAACUGAGUAACGAAGAAGCUUUUAGUCCUCCGCACAAAGUUCUACUUGUGCGCCACUAGUGGAUGCUUAUUACCGACACCGAGCAGGAAAGUGAGUGGGAGGCUCGUCGUCGGCAAAGUAUUACUUUUUUGUUUUAAUGCAAGCCUUGGAUAGUAAUGUGCGUGCUUUGACGUGGAUGAGCAAACUUUUGGAGGAUUUUUGCUUUUACUCUUCCAGUUGGGAUCUACAGAAUGGAUGCCUUCCGCUGAGAGAAUGGUAAUCUGAAUUCAAGCGGAGUGAAUAAUUCAAGAGUGAAGGGGAAAGCAGAGAGAUCUGAUUCACCAGUCUGUGAGGGGACUACAGGCGACAUGGUUCGGGAAUCAGGGGAUGGGGAGGAGCGUCGGCUGAGAAGCAGUGCAAAGGGACUUCCUGUGGAACCUCCUCCUGAUGCACAAAGUGCUGGCAAAUACACAAGACACAGAAG